rnacentral:lncRNA from 1 species
GCAAUGAUGCGUCUUCUCCAUAAUUCUUGCUUUAGCCAAGGUGCCGGGAUCAGAGGAGGCUCUUGGGCUUUGUGUUGACGAUCUGAGCAGUUUUCUUCCUUGGUUGCAUUACUCAAUUAGAAGCUCUUGAGCAUCCCAUUGAAGAAGAUUGAUAGUGUCAUGGUGCUUCUAAUCUUGUUGCCUCCAGUCCUUAUCACCUCUAGAUCAUCUCCUUCUAUGCAGAGAGGUUCUCCAAUCUUCCCUCUUUUCUUGACAUGGUUGCUUCCAAGACCUGUUGCUUGAACAAACAAAUGUCCAAGAAACAUUAAUCUUAAAAAUAAUUGACACAGUGGCAUACCUCAUUUAUCAUCUUAAAUUCUCAACAAAUUCUUGCACUAGACUCUCCCAAUUCUCG